rnacentral:rRNA from 1 species
CACGCCGUAAACUAUGGAUACUAGCUGUUGGAGGUAUCGACCCCUUCAGUAGCGAAGCUAACGCGUUAAGUAUCCCGCCUGUGGAGUACGGUCGCAAGACUAAAACAUAAAGGAAUUGACGGGGACCCGCACAAGCGGUGGAGCGUGUUCUUUAAUUCGAUGAUAAACGAAGAACCUUACCAGGGCUUGACAUCCCUUGAAUUACUCCGAAAGGAGUGAGUGCUUUAUUGAGCAAGGUGACAGGUGU